rnacentral:rRNA from 1 species
UACGGGGGGGGCAAGCGUUGUUCGGAAUUACUGGGCGUAAAGGGCUCGUAGGCGGCCAACUAAGUCAUACGUGAAAUCCCUCGGCUUAACCGGGGAACUGCGUCUGAUACUGGAUGGCUUGAGUUCGGGAGAGGGAUGCGGAAUUCCAGGUGUAGCGGUGAAAUGCUUAGAGAUUACAUGGAAUACCAAUUGCGAAGGCAGGUUACUACCAAUUGAUUGACGCUGAUGGACGAAAGCGUGGGUAGCGAACAGG